rnacentral:rRNA from 1 species
ACGAACGCUGGCGGCGUGCCUAAUUCAUGCAAGUCGAGCGGACUUAAAAAGCUUGCUUUUUAAGUUAGCGGCGGACGGGUGAGUAACACGUGGGCAACCUGCCUGUUAGACUGGGAUAACUUCGGGAAACCGGAGCUAAUACCGGAUAAUCCUUUUCUACUCAUGUAGAAAAGCUGAAAGACGGUUUACGCUGUCACUUACAGAUGGGCCCGCGGCGCAUUAGCUAGUUGGUGAGGUAACGGCUCACCAAGGCGACGAUGCGUAGCCGACCUGAGAGGGUGAUCGGCCACACUGGGACUGAGACACGGCCCAGACUCCUACGGGAGGCAGCAGUAGGGAAUCUUCCGCAAUGGACGAAAGUCUGACGGAGCAACGCCGCGUGAGUGAUGAAGGUUUUCGGAUCGUAAAACUCUGUUGUUAGGGAAGAACAAGUACGAGAGUAACUGCUCGUACCUUGACGGUACCUAACCAGAAAGCCACGGCUAACUACGUG